rnacentral:rRNA from 1 species
UACGUAGGGUGCAGGCGUUAAUCGGAAUUACUGGGCGUAAAGCGUGCGCAGGCGGUUUGCUAAGACAGGUGUGAAAUCCCCGGGCUUAACCUGGGAACUGCGCUUGUUACUGGCAAGCUUGAGUGUGGCAGAGGGGGGUGGAAUUCCACGUGUAGCAGUGAAAUGCGUAGAGAUGUGGAGGAACACCGACUGGCGAAGGGCAGCCCCCUGGGCUGAACCACGUGAC